CACAAAUACGUUUGAAAUUAAUGUAAAAAUCAGUAAUCAAAUUCAAGGUUUGGGUUCUGUUCUUCUAAUUGCAGAAUUGAUCUGAUUUCCCGUGGCUGUAGUAAGUAGAUCUACAGCUACAGUUACUAGAAGUGGAGGGAAUACACUCUGUGAACACAGCAAAAGGAGCUCAAUGAAUCCGGCUUCAUGCAGUGAUGAAACCUUUGGUGAGAGAGAACAUAUGUCAUCAGAGCACAAAGGUUUCUGCUGGAGAAUAUAUUAAACUGGUGAGUCCAUCCAAAUUGUCCCUGUCUAUACAAGCGAUUCUAUCAUCAUUAUCAGACACUUCAGCUUCUCUCUUUGCUGUGGUUCGAGCUGAAAUUGCCUUUAAUAACUUGCAGAAAGGUGCAAGCACCUCAAGCAGCUCCUUGAGAUUAGGUAAGUGCGAGAAAGACCUGAAAAAAUGCACAUACUCAGUAUAGAUUUCAGAAAGUCCUAAAUGCCUGCCUUUGUCUGUCUCCCAACUAGAGUUAGGCAAAAGGAAUAAUCUGUCUUCCCAGCUGUUGGAGAUGGGAGCAACAGCUGCUAGACAGAGCAAUUUACAUAGCAGAGAAACGUCCCACCCUUCCUUACCAUGCAGAGCCAUUGCUAGAGAUAAAGUAACUGGAAGAAAUCUGUCCUUGCACCAGGCCGGCAGGAGACUCUGGCAGCCUGCAGGUAUUUAUCACCCUCUGUAGAUCUGAAAGGCGUAUGCAGCGUGGGUAAGCAGCUUAUCACAUUCCUGCAAAGUCACUGGGGCUGCCAACUGCUGGGUUUGAAAGUGGUUUUUGACAACAGCUGCAGUACCUGAGGAGUACUGAUCUCCAUAUGGCAAGGGCUGUGCUCUUG
rnacentral:lncRNA from 1 species